UGAGCUGUGAUGAAAUUGGCUUUAGUAUUGGUUGGGUCCAAUGCAUUCUCCUGAAUAUCAGAUGAUUUCGCCUACUCUGAGCUC
rnacentral:snoRNA from 1 species